GACUCUUCUAAUGAACAAAAUUGGGUUCCAUCAUUUCAUAACCUAGAAGACAUGAACCGAAUGAUGCUACAGGCAUUAGAAUCCUCUUUGACUGUGCUGAGUACAGAUGGGGUGAUCUUUUUCGUGACUGAAAACAUCACAUCUCUCCUUGGCUACUUAGCAUAUGAGGUUAUGGGCAGGAAAUUAUUGACCUUUCUGCCUGAUGAAGAGAAAAAUGAAGUCAGCCAGAACAUUAGCAUGACACUUCCUCUGUCAGAAUCAGUGGGAACCCACAUUGAUUUUUGUUGUCAUUUAAGAAGAGGAAAUGCUGAAAAGGGACAGUGUCUUAAUUAUGAGUAUGUGAAAUUCGUCCUGACACUCAGAGAUACUUGCAGUAGUAAGUAAUUCACUUCAUCCUCUCCAAAUAAGGUUCAUGAGUUAUGUAGCCUGCCAUUGCUGACAUAAAUGUUGUCUUACUCUUGCUGAUCAUGUGCUCCUUGAUGUCACAAAUAUGAGUUUGUGUUUACUCAUAUUAGACAUUAACAAAUUAAUAGUGAAAUUUACAAGGUGGGGUCACAUAGAAACAUGGGGGAUUAAGAUGAUGAAGGAUGGCUCUCUCCUUUUAUAAAAUGAAGAAAUAAUUGUUAAAUCUUAAUAAGAGAAGUUUAAUGCAUA